rnacentral:rRNA from 1 species
AACGAACGCUGGCGGCAGGCUUAACACAUGCAAGUCGAACGCUCCGCAAGGAGAGUGGCAGACGGGUGAGUAACACGUGGGAACGUACCCUUUACUACGGAACAACUCCGGGAAACUGGAGCUAAUACCGUAUGUGCCCUUUGGGGGAAAGAUUUACCGGUAAAGGAUCGGCCCGCGUUGGAUUAGCUAGUUGGUGGGGUAAAGGCCUACCAAGGCGACGAUCCAUAGCUGGUCUGAGAGGAUGAUCAGCCACAUUGGGACUGAGACACGGCCCAAACUCCUACGGGAGGCAGCAGUGGGGAAUAUUGGACAAUGGGCGCAAGCCUGAUCCAGCCAUGCCGCAUGUGUGAUGAAGGCCUUAGGGUUGUAAAGCACUUUCACCGGAGAAGAUAAUGACGGUAUCCGGAGAAGAAGCCCCGGCUAACUUCGUGCCAGCCGCCGCAGUAAGAC